GUUAAAUUUAAUUUUUACCCCUUAUAUCUCUUUUUCAGAUUCAAAUCUAAACAUGUGAAGCUUCUAAAUAUAAAAAUUUAAAAUAAAUAAAAAAAAAUUAUUAAUAGACUUAUCUGCUGUGAUGGCUGUGACAACGAGCCUAGCUAAUUGUGCAGAUGUAGAUCUUCAAGAAUCUUAAUGAUCAUAUCACGAAUGGCAUCUCGGAAGCUCUGAGAUCAUUAGUUCUAAAGCCUUUGCACGACCUCCUCCACACGUGUGUUAGCCCACAUCUGGAUCAUCGAGCC
rnacentral:lncRNA from 1 species